rnacentral:lncRNA from 1 species
GAGAGUUCCAAGAGGUUGUUCAGGGGAAAUACAGAGCCUCAGAGCUCUGGUACUAGGAGGACCUUAAAGACCAGUUAGGACAGCCCCCUCAUUUUACUGGAAGGCUAAUUUGAAACAGAAUGGAAUUUGGCAGGGGCUAGGAUCCCUUUUUUCUUCGGAGGCUUCAUUUCCUGAAAGACACAGUGUCCGUGAUGAACUGAUUUCACUAAUUCGCUCAUUGCAUUUUUUAAAAACCUCAGCGGUCCAGAUCUGGCUUCUUUUGAAGGUGACAACACUAGGCCUAUGCCUCAUCCCCAGCAGGUGACCAAUGGAGGAAAAUAAAAUAGAACUUCAACAUGCUCUCUGACGAACUUGAACCCCUGGUACUGGUUGCUCUGAGAAGCCAUGGGUUUCCUUCCUUGGACAAUUUCAGAGCCCAUCAUUAUGGUUUAUGGAAAGGAAGUGGCACUGAGAGAGACCCUUGCUUCUCCUGGCAGCUCUUCUCCCUUGAGAAAGCUCCUCAACUUCUCCUGAGCUUAGUUUCAGAAGUGAUUGUUCAUCCUCUCCCACUGGGAGUCCUGGGAUGGGCUCCGUAUAUUUUACUCCAGCCACAGGCGGAUGAGUGAGAUGACCUUUUCAGGUCACUCAGGAGAUCCUCCAGUUUCUCAGGAUAAUCUAAGCAUCUCCCUUUCCUUUAGAAGCUGUCAGAGCUAACUCAGCGUGGGUGUGGGCUCUUUGCAGCUACACCACCUCCCCUCCAAUAUUUAGAAGUUCUUUGCUGGUUCUUAGGGUCUCCUAAUCACAGGUCUUUUUUUCUGGGCUCUGCCUGAAAGGCCACAUCCGUUUUUUCCCUGAAAGCUAGCUAGGUCCUCUGGGCUAAACACCACCGCCCCUCAGCUCUAGAAAUGGCUGAUUUUCAUGACGCCCUUUGCCAACCAGAUUAUUUCUUAAAUUGCUCUCCCCCCUGCUGGGUGUUCUGGGACACAGACGCCAGUGUGUGGGGUCCCCGGCUUUCCUUUCUCCCAGAGCAGCUGGAGGAGAGCCUCAGUUUCUCCACCGCACACCCUGGCCUGAGGGUAGCAGCCGACCCAGUCGGGGGAGUGGGCCUCCUGCGCCCUCGGAGGCACAGGACCGCGGGGCCCCACCGAGGACCCCCUGAACGGCAGCCCGCCGCGAGGCAGCGUGGGGACCAAACUGCCGCGCCCCAGAGCCCGCCGCCGCCUGUCCCCGCGUCUGAGGUCCGCAAGGAAGAGCUGCGGGAAUGCACGCCCGGGGAAGAGGCUUUGUGAACCGAGGCUCGGCGCGCCCCCCACCCGCGCCCCUCAUGGGCAGCCGGGCCCAGCCCGCCGCCCGGGCCCCUCUGGGAAGGGCUUGGAGGCGACGCGGGGGGUCGGGGGAGGAGGGAGCGUUCCUGCAAAUCACAUGAUUUUCCCGCUUAUAUAAAUCACAGCUUGUUUUUCUCAACCAGCUGCAGACUUAAAGGUGCAGUGUCUUCUUUCUCUCCCAAGGGCAGAGGUUCCCC